GGGGGGUCUUUUUUAUAGACGAAAGAGUGUAACUGAUUGACAGCGACAUCUGUAACUGCCUGGUAGUGGGCUGUUUGGGGCCACGUGGAGUUUGUUACAGAGAAUGAUGGCGUCCGUUGUCGCGACUUAUCGGAGAGUGGUAGGGCCACGUGGAGUCUGUUGCAGAGAGUGGAGUGGUGUCCGUUGUCGUGACUUGUCGGAGAGUGGUGGGGCCA
rnacentral:lncRNA from 1 species